AAAGAUGCCUCCUUUAUCAUUGAUCCCUUGCUCUAUUGGGAAAAAACAGAAAAACCCACAACACGGUUUCUUCAGAAAACAAAAAAAAAAAGUACAAAAGAACUCGGGCAUAAGAAAGUGGAGGAAUUAGAAGAAUCAAAACUUUUAAGCAUACAGAAUGUACUUUAGAAAAGGAAACAAAAGACUUGCAAGAUGUCAUCAGGUUGCCGGAAGUAAUUUCCAAUUUGUCACCUGCAAUAUCAGAAAUAUGUAAAUUAGACAACUACAACCCAUUUAAAAAAAAAAGAAAAAAAUGAGGGCUAGAGAAGUUCUGCAAAGGAAGAAACAAGAACCUUUAAAAGUAUAUACAUAAACCAUCUUUUUUGGCUUAUCAUUAUUCUCCAUCAGAAGACGAAGACAAAGAAAAGAGAAAGAGAAGAAGGGGGCUUUCUCGUCGGAGAAGAAGAAACGAAGAGAAAGAGAGAGAGAGAGAGAGAGAGAGAGAGACGAUGAACAAAGAGGGAGGGAUAAAUGAUGGUUCUGAUCCAGUAGGUGUGACCAAAAAAGCUGACAUUAGGUAAGGUGGGAAAGAGACAUAGGCC
rnacentral:lncRNA from 1 species